UCCCAUAUCACUUUUUAUAUAAACAAACGCCCUCAGGGUUUUUAUCUGUACUGGUGGCCGCUGUCCCCGUUAGCUACGCGCUGAUCUCCAUUGGCACAGCAACAGAUGGCUCAUUGAUGUACCCUGCUGGUAGAGCCUCCUCUAUCCAACUAUCGAACCCACAAUUAGUUUCCCAGGGUGGCAUCAUCCCGAUGUCUCGAUACUUGGACUCUGCGGAAUCAAUGGCAAGAUCCUAGGCAGCAUCAUUGACACCCUUUCCGGAAACUAAUCGCCAAUCUCCUCCCACCGCCGACUUUACUAUUUCUCUUGCUACAAGCUACCCGUGAUCAGAAUAU
rnacentral:sRNA from 2 species